CAAGACGAUUGGUGUUCCAGCCCCCUUCCUGCAAUGACGUUCCAAGCGAACAGUGUGCGUGUUUGUUACACUCCUCGGCAUUCAUGUAGUGCCUGACAUUUUUUUUUCAGACAAACGGCAGCUAAUUAAGCCUCACCCCACCCCCUCCACUGCCACACACAAACUGAAACUCAAAGGCCGUUCCAAUUGCUCCUGCUUUAUCUCCACUUGCCUUCUGGACGACGGCUUGGAAGGGCAGCUCGGAGUCAGGACACCUCGUGAUGGAGGAAAACGCUAAUCAACACACGGACAAAAAAAUUCUGCAAAUACAAAUUGGAGGAGAAGUGCCAGGGUUCACAAAGACAUCUUUGGGGUGAGCUAUUUCUGAGCUGGAGCGGGCACUUUAAAUGGGCCAGCAGCCCAGUACGCAGGAGUGACCUGCUGAUAACACCCUGGAGUGUGCAGGCCUAGCCCAAAUGAAACACCUUCCAAUGACACACUGCGUGCUCAACUGUGCAUUUGUGAGCCACUGUACAACAAACAGUUGUGUAAAACCCAGUGCUUGUGAGAGAUUCUACAAUAACAAUCCAAAGCAUGUAAUUCAGUCCUCGUGGGCAACCCUAGCAAAUGAGUAUGGGGAAAUCUUACAGCUGACCUGUGGAACUCAUUGCUACUGGAUGCUGAAGUCAAGAGCUUGCUAGGGUUCUGAAGCGAAUAAUCUUUUUAUCUGGAGAAUGAGAUUAACCAGACUGGAUUAAAAUGAAUAACAGGGAUAUUGAACCCUCCUACAGCAGAGCCUAAACCAGUCAUUAAUUGGUUGGGGUUUGGAUGAACCUUCUCCUAUGAGCAGUUUCUUCCAUAAUUGUGUGCGUCAGAAAUCCUUUCACUUUCCCGUGAAACAUCGCUGACUCCAGCCAGAGCCAGGCCACUGGACUACAUGGACCCUGGGGCUGAUCCAGUCCAGCAUUUCCCAUGAAAUGAGCUGGGAGAAGACUUGUUUUAAUAUGAAUAAUACCUUGAGAGUCCUUUAAAGAGCAAAAGGAAAAUAAUCAAAACCAGAACGAAUUCGUAGACGCCUGGCAAAUAGCUCCGUCCUAGGCCUCUGAGCCAGCCAACGAGUCGCUGCUUGGUCUUCUCUGAUGCAUGGGAGGCUGCCUUGAUGAUUUAUGGGCAAUGGAGCGGGAACAAGAGGCACUGAGAACGUGAUCAGCAAUGGGAAUUCCAGUCAUUGCCUUCAAAGGAGCCAGCAGGGUGCUUUGAUUGGAAAUUGGGUUGCAAAUAACAAGAUGAAACUCGACAAGAGGGCUUUAGGGAGGCACCCGACAGACUUCAAAACAGUGGCAGAGGAUGUUUUCAGAGAGUCAUAGCAUUUAAGGUCGGAAGGGACCGUUGUGAUCAUCUAGUCUGACCUUCUGUAUAGCACAGACUAGAGAAUUUCAUCCAGUCACACCUGUGUUUCAGCCCAAUAAAUGAUGUUUGACUCAAGCAUAUGGUCCAGAAAGUCUUGAGAAGAAGACUUCAGGAGGUGAUAAAUCCAGCACUUCCCUUGGUAGUUUGUUCCAGUGGUUAAAAACGUGUGUUUGAUUUCCGUUUGGCGUUGUCUGGCUUCCAACCGGUGCAAUGACUCCUCGCUUUGAGGGACCUGACAUGGCUAGACUGCAGGUGGUUAACACGGGCAUGGAUGAUGAGACACACGUUUCCUGAUGAGAGACAGCGAGACAGAGAUUUCCAUAGGGAAAGUCCCAACUGCCCAUCCGCCCAGACUCUCUUUAAACGUUGACCCUUGUAUUUUUAUCACAUUUGCUGUCAAGGUUCCAUUCAUAAAUGGCUUGUAAAGAGUUAAUACACAAUUCACAGAGGUGAUAAGCGUGUCACGUCCAUGCACAUGAUGUGUCAUGGAGGAUGAGAAGUGUAUUGAUGGAGAAUUGACAAUAAGACACCUGUUGUCUGGACUCUAUUUGAUCAACCAUCUAUUAAAACAUCUAAUAUUAACCCUUUAUAAACUAUCACUGGAACUUUAUCUAAAGUGAGACUUUUUUAAAUUAAAACCACAAGAAUUUUCCUUCUUUCUGCAUUUUUGCUUUCAGAAGAGAAAGUCUGGGUCAAUGGUUGGGGCGCUAACAUAGGACUCAGGUGACCAGGGUUUGGUUCCUGGCCCCACACCUGACUUCUUGUGUGAUUGGGGGCAAGUGACUUAAGCUCAGCUCCACAGAUGUAUUUAGGCUUCUAACUUCCAUUAAGCAGGAACUGCGAUACCUUUGAGGAUUUGAGCCUUAGUCUGGUUGCGUCUUGGUUCUCCGCCUGUCCAACGCAGAUGAGGACACAGCCCUCCCUCACUGCGAUGCCGUGAGUCUAGCUACAGUAAAGAUUGUGAGAUGCACCAGUAUGACAGUCAUAGGGGCAAGAGAAGUACCUAUGAGCGCAAAUCUGAAAUGAUGCCUUUGGCCCUAUGCAUCUCAGACAGCAACUACAAGCCUGCCUGUCCAUCAGUUCAUCACAGUUGUAUCACCCCAUUUUUCUCUGCUGCCUUUUAUACACAGAGCACUGCUCCAGACGUCAGCUGUACGUCGCCUUCAAACCCUAUCUCAAGACCCAUCCGCCAUAGGCGCUGAGUUUUACCUUCCCCAGGGGUGCUCUGCUCCCUGCACUGCCCCAAAGCCCUGCCCCACUCCACCCCUCCCCAAGGCCACGCCCUUGCUCCACCUCUUCCUGCCCCUGCUCCACCCUCUCUCCAAGGCCCCUGAAUGCCAGCUGCUCACUGCUCUCUGCCUUCCCCCAAGCAAUUUUUCUGUGGGUGCUUCAGCCCCAGAGCAUCCACAGAGUCGGUGCCUAGGACCACCUCUUCCUAGGACACCAGCCCAUUCAUCAUGGCUCCAUUGCGGGGAGAUGGGGCUAAGUGACACACCCUAAAAGAAAAUUACACACGUGGCCCAUCUUGUAUCACCAUCUUACCGCCCUUCAUAUGUCACUUGUGUGCUUUGUGUCGCUGCAUGUGUUGUACAGCACCCUGCUCCUGGUUGGGACCUAUUUAAAAUGAGAGAUGUUUGCUCCUAGAGAUGACCCCGAUCUGUGACUCGCAACGUGUUUGGAUCCAGGUUUUGAGGUGUCCUGUGAUGGUGAAUGGGGCUGACUGCACAAGAUGGACCCAGAUUCAAAUUCCACAAGGUUCCAGUGUUCCAGUUCGGGCCCGUUUGUCACUUUUCUGGUCCGUUAGCGGAGUGUUUGGUAUUUAAUGGCUGGGUUAACCUGUGGAUGAUUUUUAAAAGGCAGCUGAGAACAAUGGGACCAUUUUGUGGCUUCCGAUGGUCAUGUGUUUUCCCCUUAGUAAAUCACGCCCCAGCAAAAUAGCCAGCAUGUCACACACCCUGCUGCGAUAUGCGGAUUUGGUAUCUGACGUGCCUGACUCAGAGCCCCCAGGGCCUGACCUGGAUGAAGUGAUUACAGGAGGAAAGCUAUCUUAUUCGGCUGUUAGGGGACCAAACCCACACCCACGCUAGGAAAUUCUGCGUCAGAAUUCCAGUCGCUCCUUGCAUUCGGUCUCCAUUCAGUCCUUGGCCGUUCUGCUGAAGCAGCCAACAAGGGAGUCUACAAGGCCACUUGCAAAGCCAGCUGUUUAGAAACCAGUGUGUCUUUGGCUUUCCUGCCAGCGUUCAGGAUUCUGUCCUCUGGAGAGCACCAAUGGGCAGCACUCAAUGAUCUGCGAGACGCGACCCACAAAGGGCCCCAUCUGGCUUUUGUUUGUCAGUAGAAGCGUUGAGGGAAUCUUUCCUUGUGCUGUUAGGAUCCGCAUGUACUUUGACCAUCGGCUGUUGGCUUCAGGUUGCAGGGAGGAUACAAUAGUACGUCUCCCAAAGACCUGACUAAGCCUGUCCCAUACAGUCAAGUACAGGGGAGUCCCCCGGGCUCCGCCGAAGUUAAUUCCACAUGCUCUCUCUCCGAGAGGAGGUUGUUUUUUAGCUGAGCUCUAACCCAGCCUUUUGUGUGGAUUUUUGCUCUUAUCCAAAAUGAUGGCAAGCUGCCCUCGGCGGAGAUGGCUACCAUUUCUCCUCAGGCCUGUGGACGCAAACUGCUCCUACUCAAGAUGGCUGCCAUCUCCCAUUAUCUCCCAAUGGGACUGAAGCCAGGCUGCCCUCUGGGUUCAGUGGUUAGAAAACUGGCAAGGGAAAUGCGAGGGAGACUGGGAGCAGCCUUGUGGGAAGACCCCGCAAUGUUAAAGCUGUGAGCCAAGAGCAGAAAACAACUACUGUCCUACGGCAACUGCUCUGCAGCGCCCCCGCUGGCUGCCCGCUGUGUUGCAGGAGAAGGAAGGGCGUAGGUUCUGGCUGUGGGACCCAUCCCGAGAGUGGAAUAGUGGCUCAGCUGGCAAAGGGCUGGAGUCAGGAAAGCAUCCCUAUUCAGAAAAGGGCUUACAUAUGUGCAUAAAUCACCUGGCACGUGCUUCAACGCUUGUCUGAAUCUCCUAGCAAGCUGAAGGUGUAAAUUGGGUGCAGGUGAAGAGUGAUGGAUGGAUCGAUCAGGAGCUUUGCAGACUGAAGGCUUCUCUGUGCCCUCAGAACAGCCCUUGGGCUCCCCCAUUGCCUCUGGAUUGGCUCAUCUCCCCUGGAGAAACAGAAGUUUCCUGAAAAUCCUGCCUCAUUCUGCCAGGGCCUGAGCGAACGCACCCCCCUGAUCUCGGAGGGGGAGCAGAGAGCUGGGGAAAACGAGCAAAGAUUUUGCCAAACUGGCCUGACCAGAACGUGACACGAGAGCAGGAAAUGAGUCACUCCACUGGGGCAGCUGCUCUGCUCUCGGGCAGGCAUUUGCAUAGAAAGAAACCUCACCAGCUAAGGGGAAAUUGACACCAUCCCUUGUCUGAGGUGCAAGGGGGUUAUCUAGCUGGAUCCAUCUGUCCAUCCUUGAUUGUUUCUCCAAGCUUGGGGGGAGGGGAAGACCUCCUACCAUGUCAACGCAUCAGCCUCUAUUUAAAACCAGACCAAAGCAACCCCUUUGCUAGGGCAGGAAAGGCCUGGCCCCUUGUGCCCCAGUUUGGGCCAGGCCAGGGGGAAGUUGUUGGGGGCCCUGCUAAGCCCCACUGGCCUGCUCGUUGCACAAGGACAAAGCUCUACUGAAGGGAUGAUACAGACAUAACUGGUUCAGCAUCAGAGCCAUUGUCUGCACCGGUUCCUAGCUGCAAAGGGAUUUAUUUGUCUCUUGCGCUGGACCCAGCCAGCAGUGGGGACGGGGCUGGGGGGAACAGGAGGGGUAAGGGGCUCGCUUUGUGUGUUUAGAUGGUGGUAGCCGGUGGAUUGCUAGCUUUUAUUAAUCAUUAAGGACAGGCGCCUGUCCGUUCAAAUGGCAGCGCUGGCUCUUAAAAGGGCAAAGCCACCCAUGCCUCAGGCACCAGGGCAGGUGGGAGGCUGCUGGAGAGAAACCCACUAGAUUGGCCUGUGUUUGUAGCACACAUGUACAUGGCACAAACCUUCGCCAGCAGGAAGGCACACACACGUCUGUGCACUAGUGCAAUUUUGCAUGAGGGUGAAUUGUGCGUGUCUGUGUGAUUGGGGUGUGAGAGACAGAUUGGGGUGUGUGGGUGUGCAUGUGUGAUCAUGGGAAAGUGGUGUAUGCACGCAUGUAUGUCUCGGGGGGGUGUACAUAUGAGUCUGUAUGGUGCAUGUUGGUGUGUGUCUGGAAGGUAACUGAUGUGUGACUGGGGUGUAUGUCUGUGUGGUGUGUGUGUGUAUAUGUGUGUCAAGUGUGUGACUGUUUAAAUAUGUGUGUUAGCAUGAGUGGUGGGUGUGUGUGUCGGUAUGGUGUACUGCAGUGUGUCUCUGUGAUGUAUGUGUAGACCUGUGUGUCUACAUGGUGUAUAUCUGUGUGAUUGUUGUGGGGGGGUGUGUUUGUGAGGGACAAAGAGAUGUGUAUACCCCCUCCAGGCCAGGGCUGUGUCAUU